CCUACGGGUGGCAGCAGUAGGGAAUAUUGCUCAAUGGGGGAAACCCUGAAGCAGCAACGCCGCGUGGAGGAUGAAGGUUUUCGGAUUGUAAACUCCUUUUGUUAGAGAAGAUAAUUACGGUAUCUAACGAAUAAGCACCGGAUAACUCCGUGCCAGCAGCCGCGGUACUACGGAGGGUGCAAGCGUUACUCGGAAUCACUGGGCGUAAAGAGCGCGUAGGCGGGAUAGCAAGUCAGAUGUGAAAUCCUAUGGCUUAACCAUAGAACUGCAUUUGAAACUGGUAUUCUAGAGUAUGGGAGAGGUAGGUGGAAUUCUUGGUGUAGGGGUAAAAUGCGUAGAGAUCAAGAGGAAUACUCAUUGCGAAGGCGACCUGCUAGAACAUAACUGACGCUGAUGCGCGAAAGCGUGGGGAGCAAACAGGAUUAGAUACCCUGGUAGUC
rnacentral:rRNA from 1 species